UGGGGAAUAUUGCGCAAUGGGGGAAACCCUGACGCAGCGACGCCGCGUGGAGGAUGAAGGCCUUCGGGUUGUAAACUCCUUUUGUAGGGGAAGAUAAUGACGGUACCCUGCGAAUAAGCCACGGCUAACUCUGUGCCAGCAGCCGCGGUAAGACAGAGGUGGCGAGCGUUGUUCGGAAUUACUGGGCUUAAAGGGCGAGUAGGCGGUGGAGCAAGUCUGAGGUGGAAUCCUACGGCUUAACCGUAGAACUGCCUUGGAAACUGUUUACUUGAGUCAGUGAGGGGAGGGCGGAAUUCCUGGUGUAGCGGUGAAAUGCGUAGAUAUCAGGAGGAAGGCCUGUGGCGAAAGUGGCCCUCUGGCACUGUACUGACGCUGAGGCGCGAAAGCGUGGGGAGCAAACAGGAUUAGAUACCCUGGUAGUCCACGCCCUAAACGGUGGGCAUUAGGUGUAGGGCUCGUAAGGGUUCUGUGCCGAAGGGAAACCAUUAAAUGCCCCGCCUGGGGAGUACGGCCGCAAGGUUAG
rnacentral:rRNA from 1 species